UGAUUUCAGAAUCCAUGUAAGACUGCAAAACCAACAGAGAAAUGUCAACUAACUAGAUAUUUGUCAAAUGCAAUGCUGGAAUACUGGAAAAUAGGCAUCAAAAUUUUCAUGAAAACAUCACGAUACAAAUUACAUCACAGAUACUCCUCUUUUUUUCUUUUUUGGUAAACAGUACAGAUACUCCUUUAUAUGGCCUAUCCUAGUCUCAUAUACUUGGCCUGGCAGUGGUUUUCAAAUACAAGACUAAAACCCGAACCCACAAACUUCAGACCAAGCCAAACUUAUUGACUGGAAUCACUGUCAAAUACAGCUAAUCAUAUGCAGCUCUAACAACAGGUUACAGGCAUAACUAUUUAUCCAGCAUUCAUUACAAGGUCUUUCUUAUUUGGAACUUCAUUAUAAGUCUACUAUAGAUGCAUAACUAAUAAUUUCCAGCUGUGUCAGCAUUGAAAGAAAAUGCUAAAAUACUACUAAUAGUAAGAAUACCAUGACAUAGUUAGGUUACAUGAAAAAUUGUCUUCUAAGGGAAAUCUGGACUCUGGAGACAGUCUUGUCAUCCAA
rnacentral:misc_RNA from 1 species